rnacentral:rRNA from 1 species
GGUUAAGCGACUAAGCGUACACGGUGGAUGCCCUGGCAGUCAGAGGCGAUGAAGGACGUGCUAAUCUGCGAUAAGCGUCGGUGAGGUGAUAUGAACCGUUAUAACCGGCGAUUUCCGAAUGGGGAAACCCAGUGUGUUUCGACACACUAUCAUUAACUGAAUCCAUAGGUUAAUGAGGCGAACCGGGGGAACUGAAACAUCUAAGUACCCCGAGGAAAAGAAAUCAACCGAGAUUCCCCCAGUAGCGGCGAGCGAACGGGGAGGAGCCCAGAGCCUGAAUCAGUGUGUGUGUUAGUGGAAGCGUCUGGAAAGGCGCGCGAUACAGGGUGACAGCCCCGUACACAAAAAUGCACAUGCUGUGAGCUCGAUGAGUAGGGCGGGACACGUGGUAUCCUGUCUGAAUAUGGGGGGACCAUCCUCCAAGGCUAAAUACUCCUGACUGACCGAUAGUGAACCAGUACCGUGAGGGAAAGGCGAAAAGAACCCCGGCGAGGGGAGUGAAAAAGAACCUGAAACCGUGUACGUACAAGCAGUGGGAGCCUCUUAAUGGGGUGACUGCGUACCUUUUGUAUAAUGGGUCAGCGACUUAUAUUCUGUAGCAAGGUUAACCGAAUAGGGGAGCCGAAGGGAAACCGAGUCUUAACUGGGCGUUAAGUUGCAGGGUAUAGACCCGAAACCCGGUGAUCUAGCCAUGGGCAGGUUGAAGGUUGGGUAACACUAACUGGAGGACCGAACCGACUAAUGUUGAAAAAUUAGCGGAUGACUUGUGGCUGGGGGUGAAAGGCCAAUCAAACCGGGAGAUAGCUGGUUCUCCCCGAAAGCUAUUUAGGUAGCGCCUCGUGAAUUCAUCUCCGGGGGUAGAGCACUGUUUCGGCAAGGGGGUCAUCCCGACUUACCAACCCGAUGCAAACUGCGAAUACCGGAGAAUGUUAUCACGGGAGACACACGGCGGGUGCUAACGUCCGUCGUGAAGAGGGAAACAACCCAGACCGCCAGCUAAGGUCCCAAAGUCAUGGUUAAGUGGGAAACGAUGUGGGAAGGCCCAGACAGCCAGGAUGUUGGCUUAGAAGCAGCCAUCAUUUAAAGAAAGCGUAAUAGCUCACUGGUCGAGUCGGCCUGCGCGGAAGAUGUAACGGGGCUAAACCAUGCACCGAAGCUGCGGCAGCGACACUAUGUGUUGUUGGGUAGGGGAGCGUUCUGUAAGCCUGUGAAGGUGGCCUGUGAGGGUUGCUGGAGGUAUCAGAAGUGCGAAUGCUGACAUAAGUAACGAUAAAGCGGGUGAAAAGCCCGCUCGCCGGAAGACCAAGGGUUCCUGUCCAACGUUAAUCGGGGCAGGGUGAGUCGACCCCUAAGGCGAGGCCGAAAGGCGUAGUCGAUGGGAAACAGGUUAAUAUUCCUGUACUUGGUGUUACUGCGAAGGGGGGACGGAGAAGGCUAUGUUGGCCGGGCGACGGUUGUCCCGGUUUAAGCGUGUAGGCUGGUUUUCCAGGCAAAUCCGGAAAACCAAGGCUGAGGCGUGAUGACGAGGCACUACGGUGCUGAAGUGACAAAUGCCCUGCUUCCAGGAAAAGCCUCUAAGCAUCAGGUAACAUCAAAUCGUACCCCAAACCGACACAGGUGGUCAGGUAGAGAAUACCAAGGCGCUUGAGAGAACUCGGGUGAAGGAACUAGGCAAAAUGGUGCCGUAACUUCGGGAGAAGGCACGCUGAUAUGUAGGUGAAGCGACUUGCUCGUGGAGCUGAAAUCAGUCGAAGAUACCAGCUGGCUGCAACUGUUUAUUAAAAACACAGCACUGUGCAAACACGAAAGUGGACGUAUACGGUGUGACGCCUGCCCGGUGCCGGAAGGUUAAUUGAUGGGGUUAGCGGUAACGCGAAGCUCUUGAUCGAAGCCCCGGUAAACGGCGGCCGUAACUAUAACGGUCCUAAGGUAGCGAAAUUCCUUGUCGGGUAAGUUCCGACCUGCACGAAUGGCGUAAUGAUGGCCAGGCUGUCUCCACCCGAGACUCAGUGAAAUUGAACUCGCUGUGAAGAUGCAGUGUACCCGCGGCAAGACGGAAAGACCCCGUGAACCUUUACUAUAGCUUGACACUGAACAUUGAGCCUUGAUGUGUAGGAUAGGUGGGAGGCUUUGAAGUGUGGACGCCAGUCUGCAUGGAGCCGACCUUGAAAUACCACCCUUUAAUGUUUGAUGUUCUAACGUUGGCCCCUAAUCGGGGUUGCGGACAGUGUCUGGUGGGUAGUUUGACUGGGGCGGUCUCCUCCUAAAGAGUAACGGAGGAGCACGAAGGUUGGCUAAUCCUGGUCGGACAUCAGGAGGUUAGUGCAAUGGCAUAAGCCAGCUUGACUGCGAGCGUGACGGCGCGAGCAGGUGCGAAAGCAGGUCAUAGUGAUCCGGUGGUUCUGAAUGGAAGGGCCAUCGCUCAACGGAUAAAAGGUACUCCGGGGAUAACAGGCUGAUACCGCCCAAGAGUUCAUAUCGACGGCGGUGUUUGGCACCUCGAUGUCGGCUCAUCACAUCCUGGGGCUGAAGUAGGUCCCAAGGGUAUGGCUGUUCGCCAUUUAAAGUGGUACGCGAGCUGGGUUUAGAACGUCGUGAGACAGUUCGGUCCCUAUCUGCCGUGGGCGCUGGAGAACUGAGGGGGGCUGCUCCUAGU